GAGGGGGUGCCGGAGCGGCCAAAAUCCACUGCUUGUGCGGUGUUUGGCUAGACGGGACAGACUCAAGAUCUGUUGGCUUAGUGCCUACNNGCCUACUAGGGUUCAAAUCCCUACCCCCUCA
rnacentral:tRNA from 1 species